CAGUCGCCGCGGUAAUACGUAGGUGGCAAGCGUUGUCCGGAUUUAUUGGGCGUAAAGCGAGCGCAGGCGGUUUCUUAAGUCUGAUGUGAAAGCCCCCGGCUCAACCGGGGAGGGUCAUUGGAAACUGGGAGACUUGAGUGCAGGAGAGGAGGGUGGAAUUCCAUGUGUAGCGGUGAAAUGCGUAGAUAUAUGGAGGAACACCAGUGGCGAAGGCGGCUCUCUGGUCUGUAACUGACGCUGAGGCUCGAAAGCGUGGGGAGCGAACAGGAUUAGAUACCCCCGUAGUCCCUGUCUCUUAUAC
rnacentral:rRNA from 1 species